AGUUUAAUAGUUUAAUAAUUAUAACGUUUAUUUAUUAAUAUUAUAUAUUUUUAUAUUAAAAUAAUUACCGCUUCGGUAUAAAAAAAUAUAAUUUAUAGAAAAUUUAGGUUCAAAUUUUAAUUAAACUA